rnacentral:rRNA from 1 species
UACGUAGGGGGCAAGCGUUGUCCGGAAUCAUUGGGCGUAAAGCGCGUGUAGGCGGUCCGGUAAGUCCGCUGUGAAAGUCGGGGGCUUAACCCUCGGAUGCCGGUGAAUACUGUCGGGCUUGAGUACGGAAGAGGCGAGUGGAAUUCCUGGUGUAGCGGUGAAAUGCGCAGAUAUCAGGAGGAACACCAGUUGCGAAGGCAGCUCGCUGGGCCGUUACUGACGCUGAGGCGCGAAAGCGUGGGGAGCAAACAGG